rnacentral:rRNA from 1 species
GACGAACGCUGGCGGCGUGCUUAACACAUGCAAGUCGAACGAAGUGGCGAACGGGUGAGUAACGCGUAAUCAACCUGCCCUUCAGAGGGGGAUAACAGUGGGAAACGACUGCUAAUACCGCAUACGGAAGGAGGGGAUUGCGGCUGAUGGGCUAGUUGGGGGGGUAACGGCCCACCAGGGCGAGGAUCUGUAGCCGGUCUGGGAGGAGGAACGGCCACAUUGGGACUGGGACACGGCCCAGACUCCUACGGGAGGCAGCAGGGGGGAAUCUUCCGCAAUGGACGAAAGUCUGACGGAGCAACGCCGCGUGAGUGAUGACGGCCUUCGGGUUGUAAAGCUCUGUUAAUCGGGACGCGGUACCGGAAUAGAAAGCCACGGCUAACUACGUGCCAGCAGCCGCGGUAAUAC